GCUGGGCAUGGUGGCUCAUGCCUGUAAUCCCAGCACUUUGGGAGGCCGAGGUGGGUGGAUCACCUGAGGUCAGGAGUUCGAGACCCGCCUGGCCAACAUGGUGAAAGCUCAUCUCUACUAAAAAGUACAGAAAUUAGCCGGGUACAGUGGCACACACCUGUAAUCCCAGCACUUUGGGAGGCUGAGGCGGGUGGAUCACCUGAAGUCAGGAGUUCGAGACCAGCCUGACCAACAUGGAGAAACCCCGUCUCU
ensembl:misc_RNA Metazoa_SRP Metazoan signal recognition particle RNA